ensembl:lncRNA
AUAAUUAGCGGUAAGUAGCGGUUUGAAGGAAAACAGCAGAAAGAAUCCCCCGCGGCGAGUGUAAGAUUUCCGGAAUGUUCCGAGCCUCAAGGACAGACGGUAAGCGACCCCCCGCUACCUCCUUUAAUGGGUUCGGGUAUAAAUGACCUUCCCGGCUGUGUUUUUGUCUCCUGAUUGACGGCAGGAGUUCCUCUGACCCACAUUUGCAUCUGUUGCGAUGACCUACAUACACCGCCGUCGAUGAGUGAUUGAAGCAGCGUCAACCUCGAACCUGCGAUUUCCUCUCUCACCCCGAAGAGUCGAUAUUAUUAUUAUUAUUAUUUUCCUUCAGCGGACUGUGCGAAAGCCGAGCCAGGGGGUCGGGUUUAGGAGCCUUGCUAAUGUUGCUAAUUAGCGAGAUUAGCCUGGGCGCUAAUCCACACAGCAGAAUAAUGAGCCUCUGAAAAUGGAGAAUUUUCUCCAAGUUCACUGGUGAAGGCGUUUUAUUUUAAAUCACCUUUUAAUUUUUCUCUUUUUAUUCUGUAUUUAUAUCUUAAAUCUCCACACAGGCUCCCUCGGAGGUCAAUAAAGUACAUCCAUCCAUCUGUCCAUCUGUCCAUACACCCAUCCUUCUGUCUUUCUGUCUGUUUAACUACAUAUCUAUUGAUCUUUUUAUCUAUAUGUCUAUCUAUCUGUUGAUCUGUCUAUCUAUUAUUGAUCUUUCUAUCUAUCUGUCUAUCUAUCUAUCUAUUGAUCUUUCUGUCUAUCUGUCUAUCUAUCUAUCUAUUGAUCUUUCUAUCUAUUAUUGAUCUUUCUAUCUAUCUAUCUAUCUAUCUAUUGAUCUUUCUAUCUAUCUGUCUAUCUAUCUGUUGAUCUGUCUAUCUAUUAUUGAUCUUUCUAUCUAUCUGUCUAUCUAUCUAUCUAUUGAUCUUUCUAUCUAUCUAUCUAUCUAUCUAUCUAUCUAUUGAUCUAUCUAUCUAUCUGUCUGUCUAUCUCUUGAUCUAUAUCUGUCUAUCUGUCUAUCUAUCUAUUGAUCUUUCUAUCUAUCUGUCUAUCUAUCUGU